UGGCUCAGGAUAAACGCUGGCGGCGUGCCUAAUACAUGCAAGUCGAACGAGGGCCUUGUAGCAAUACGGGGUUCCUAGUGGCGAAUGGGUGAGUAACGCGUUGGUGACCUGCCCCAAAGCGGGGAAUAACUCCGGGAAACUGGAGCUAAUACCCCAUGUGGUUACGGUUUUUAGAAAACCGUAUCUAAAGGAGUAAUCCACUUUGGGAGGGGCCUGCGUCCCAUCAGCUAGUUGGUAGGGUAAUGGCCUACCAAGGCGACGACGGGUAGGGGGCCUGAGAGGGUGGCCCCCCACACUGGCACUGAAACACGGGCCAGACACCUACGGGUGGCAGCAGUAGGGAAUAUUGCACAAUGGGCGAAAGCCUGAUGCAGCAACGCCGCGUGUACGAUGAAGACCUUCGGGUUGUAAAGUGCUUUUCUGAAGGAAGAGAAAGGACGGUACUUCAGGAAUAAGGAUCGGCUAACUACGUGCCAGCAGCCGCGGUAAUACGUAGGAUCCGAGCGUUAUCCGAGUUUACUGGGCGUAAAGCGCGUGCAGGCGGUUUGGUAAGUUGGAUGUGAAAGCUCCUGGCUCAACUGGGAGAGGCCGUUCAAAACUAUCAGACUAGAGGACAGUAGAGGGAGGUGGAAUUCCCGGUGUAGUAGUGAAAUGCGUAGAUAUCGGGAGGAACACCAGUGGCGAAGGCGGCCUCCUGGACUGUUCCUGACGCUCAGACGCNAAAGCUANGGNAGCGAACGGGANUANAAACCCCGGUAGUCCUANCAGUAAACGAUGUAGACUUGGCGUCGGUGGGG
rnacentral:rRNA from 1 species